rnacentral:RNase_P_RNA from 1 species
GAAGCCGGCCAGACGGUCGCCGCGUACCUUCGGGUACGGGGAGGAAAGUCCGGGCUCCGCAGAGCAGGGUGACGGCUAACGGCCGUACGUAAUAGUCGAAGGCUUGCCUUUGGCGAAGACGAGGAAUAGGGCCACAGAGACGAGUCGCUGCAGAAGAUCGCAGCGGGUGAAACGCGGUAACCUCCACCCGGAGCAACACCAAAUAGGCGGAUGCUGCACGCGCAGUCCUGGCGUGCUGUGAGCGGCUCGCUCAAGUCCGCGGGUAGGUGGCUGGAGCCCUGGGGUAACCCAGGGCCUAGAGGAAUGACCGUCAUAGGGAGCAAUCCCCGUAACAGAACCCGGCUUAUCGGCCGGCUUCACUU